rnacentral:rRNA from 1 species
AUACCCUAUUAUAUUUUAAUAAAUCUGGUAGUAUUUAACUAUUAAAAAACUAAUGUAGUUUGGCGGCAUUUAUUCAUAUUAGAGGAACCUGUCUUUUAAUCGAUUCUCCACGAUAUUUUUCACUUUUAUUCAUAUUUUAUAUACCUCCAUCUUAAGGAUUAAUAUUUAUGUUCUCCUCAAAAUAGAUUUCCUAAAAAGUUAGGUAAAGGUGUAAACUAUAUAAAAGAUAAGGUGGGUUACUUUAAAAUCUAUUUAAGGACAAUUUAUUAAAAUUUUUUUUGAAAAAGGAUUUAUUAGUAAUUUAUUUAAUAAUAUUUACAAAUGAACUUGAUAAACAAUGUGC